AAAAGAACCUGAAACCGUGUACGUACAAGCAGUGGGAGCACAGGUUUACCUGUGUGACUGCGUACCUUUUGUAUAAUGGGUCAGCGACUUAUAUUCUGUAGCAAGGUUAACCGAAUAGGGGAGCCGGAGGGAAACCGAGUCUUAAUUGGGCGUUAAGUUGCAGGGUAUAGACCCGAAACCCGGUGAUCUAGCCAUGGGCAGGUUGAAGGUUGGGUAACACUAACUGGAGGACCGAACCGACUAAUGUUGAAAAAUUAGCGGAUGACCUGUGGCUGGGGGUGAAAGGCCAAUCAAACCGGGAGAUAGCUGGUUCUCCCCGAAAGCUAUUUAGGUAGCGCCUCGUGAAUUCAUCUCCGGGGGUAGAGCACUGUUUCGGCUAGGGGGCCAUCCCGGCUUACCAACCCGAUGCAAACUGCGAAUACCGGAGAAUGUUAUCACGGGAGACACACGGCGGGUGCUAACGUCCGUCGUGAAGAGGGAAACAACCCAGACCGCCAGCUAAGGUCCCAAAGUCAUGGUUAAGUGGGAAACGAUGUGGGAAGGCCCAGACAGCCAGGAUGUUGGCUUAGAAGCAGCCAUCAUUUAAAGAAAGCGUAAUAGCUCACUGGUCGAGUCGGCCUGCGCGGAAGAUGUAACGGGGCUAAACCAUG
rnacentral:rRNA from 1 species